CCUUCGUUGAUGAGUAACCAGUUGACUUUCGUUCUUCUGAGCGUGCUGAAGCAACUCUUAUUGAUCUGAGAAGG
rnacentral:snoRNA from 1 species